rnacentral:lncRNA from 1 species
AUGAGGGAAGAGAAGUACUUUCCCAAAGUGUGGUGGAAGGGAAGGGGGAGAGUUUGUGAUGGGGUGGGGGUGAUGGGCCUGAACUUCAUCCAAGCCUCUGAGGACCCGAGGAGCAGAAACUUGUGGGGAUGUGAGCUAGAAGGUGAAGCCCACCGGUUCCUAGGUGACCUCUCUCUGACUUCAUGGGCCAUGGAACAGGCUGUCUCCGUGGUAAUCUCAACAAUGCUCAAGGCAGUCAGUGCCUGGCAACUUUGGACUUAAGAGUAUCCGGUAGGUGCAAAACAUCAGCCAGGCACUUGGUGCCCAAAGCCUUUGAUUACACCCCAGCUGGACAUCUAGAGCCUGGACGUCAGCUUGGGGAAAACCACUUCUUAUGCAGAAAGUAAAGCCCAGCAAAGGCCACCAGUUCUAGAGGCUGGAAGUCCAAGAUCAAAGUGCCAGCAACAGGCCUUGGGAGGGCCUGCCUCCUGGUUCAUAGAUGGCCAUCGUCUCCCUAUGUCUUCACACGGUGGAAGGGGCAAGGAAGGCUUCCCCACACACCUGCCCUUUACUCUGCGGAGCCCAGCUUCCUACUGCAGUAAACUCUCACAUGGCCAAGAAGUUUCUCAGAGCUCUCCCAGAGCCAGCAUAGGGGCUGCUUACAAAAAGCCCUUGGAAGCUGCUUCACUGUGGAAUCCACUCCCGCUCCUUGCUACUGCCUACAGGACAAGCAGCCCUCCUUUUUUGUCCUGCCACUGUCUGGCUGCCCUCUAACCCUCUACUAAUUAAAGCCACCAUUUGCUAUU